rnacentral:lncRNA from 1 species
AGAUAGUGGAAAGCAGAAAACUCAAAUUUCCUAUGUGUUUCUCACACCAACAAUAAAUACCUUUUUAGUGUUACCUCUGCAGUUUGACGCAAGAACUGAAGGCUAUUGAUGUCACUUUCUUCAAACAGUUCUGCUGACCCCUUUUUACCAUAGCUGCAAUUAUUCAGAUUUUGACACCACCUCUUCCUGCGCUCUAGGAUGGAAGUCUCUCAAGAUCUUUCCUGAUAAUACUGAG